AUAAAACUGGUUCUCUUCCUGUCAGGUGUCCCAGAUGAACCAACUUCGCGGCAGGAGGUGCAGAUGAGAACAGCUGCAUCGAACUCUCUCAUGCACCAAACGGCAAUUGCUAAAAUGUUUUCGUGAAGAAAAAUCAUGUAGCAACGCCGAAUGGCAGUGCCCCAGCAUGACCACGGCUCGUGAGCUGAAACUAGAUAAUAUAUAAAAAAUAAAUAAAUAAAUAAAUAUUUGAUUUGUUUAUAAAU